UCCACUAUGAUAUUCCACAAACGGAAAAAUCACAAAGGUCGAUAACUCAGAUAAAAUUGGUAACUGUCAAAAUGCCUUUCUUUAGGAUCAUAUUCACAUAUGAUCAGCUCAGAAGGGAAGUCCACUCCCGAAGAUUUCACUGCCUUCAGACUGCGCACUUCCUCUUCAACCUCUUCCUCUAGUAAGCACGACUAUCGUCAACCGCUUCCUGGUCUGAAAUCGUUCUGACAGAGACAGCUAUAGAGCGUGAUGUACAACAAACACGCGUGGACACAACAACCGAAGAGGACGCAAAUGGAACAACUGAGUGUGAUGCACAACCAUCCAUGAUGCAGCUUGCUGAUCCCAAAACUACACCUGAAAAGGCGGCCAGCCCUAACGACACAACUGAAUCGGAGAGUCUUUUACAAACAUCAAAUUCGGGACAAGUCAAUGCCAACGCUCUAAACAAAAUGAAGACCAGCUUCAAUCGAG